ensembl:snoRNA SNORD38B small nucleolar RNA, C/D box 38B
UCUCAGUGAUGAAAAUUUUGUCCAGUUCUGCUACUGACUUUUAAGUGAUGAUAAAGUGUGUCUGAGGAGA